UCCAGCAGCAUAAUGUUAUAUCUUUUUGUUGCAGCAAUUUGUAUAAAUUUAGUUAUCGGGGAUAUUGUCACCCAGUCACCACCUGAAGGGACAAUUAACGAAGGAACGGGUGCCACUUUAUCAUGCAUUACCGAUGUCACAGCUAAUAAUAUGUUUUGGUAUAUCCAGAAACCUGGUCAAGCACCUCGUUUUCUCCUAUGGGAUCUUUCAAAAGAAGAAGAACUGAAUAAAGAUGUAAAGGGUCGAUUUUUCCACAAAUAUGACAGGGCAAACAAACAAUUCCCUCUCAUCAUCAACAAUGCAAGAACCUCUGACUCUGGCACAUAUUACUGUGCCAUGAGAGCCACAGUGUGUUAUGAGGAUAAACAGUUUGAACAAUAA